CACUAAGGGGAAUACUGAGCACAAAUACUGGGCACUUUGUGGGAAAAAACCUUUGAGCUGAGGGGAAGGAACUCAGCUGUCACUAACACCUCUGUCAAGCUUCACUCCCAGACAGUCUCGGGCAGCAGCUCUCUGAACAUCAAGGACCUCAAACUCUCUCACAAACAGCCACAGGUGAGCGUGGAGCCCACCCACAAGGUCAGUCCGGGAAAGGGACAGACCCACCCUGGGGAACUGUUGAGCCACUCUGCCUCUCCUCUCACAGAAGGCUGAGGAGAGUGGAAAACAUCGCUCAACGUAAUGUUGUUUUCAAUUUGGCCUUGUGCUGAGAAAAAGAAAGAUCUACAUUGACUCCAGAAAAAUAUACAGCAAUCAGAACAAUAAAAGAAAAUAAAUUUAACAGGAUAUAUUGCUUACAGAUAACAUCCUGCCAUCUUUGUAAAAAUCCCUUAGCCUAUAAAGGCCUUUAGACUUCCAGUCUUGCCAUGGAAAUAUUCUGUAUUUAUUAAAAAAUUGUGGAUGAAAGAACGAAGUCAUCAAUGAAGAGACCCAUGAGGAAAUUGAUUUUACUCUGCAAGACCAACAUCAAUAUAAGGCUUCUGUGAAGAGACUGUCCUGUAUUUGAGCUAUGGUUGUGUAUAAAAUAAAGAACUUAGAGUGUACCCUUUAAAAAGUCUGUUUUCCAUUGAUGUCCAUCUCUUUUCCUCGUCUUCUCUCAAAAAAGAAAUCAAGUGGUAUAAUCGAUUAGCUUCAUAAUAAGAACAGAUAUGAGGUAUCUCCCAGUCCCCCCCCCCCAUCCCGUUUGCCUGUAACAAUACUGUUGUCUGA